UUACGGUCACAUCCCGUUGAAACAUUGGUUCCUGUGUGAUCAUCGAAGUUAAGCAAUGUCGAUUCUGGUCAGUACCUAAAUGGGUGACCACUUGGGAAUACCAGAUGUGGCAAU